rnacentral:misc_RNA from 1 species
CAGCCGCGGUAAUCCAGCUCCAAUAGCGUAUAUUAAAGUUGUUGCAGUUAAAAAGCUCGUAGUUGAAUUUCGGGAUUGACACAUCGGUCGUGCCUUAAGGGGUAUGAACUGGUGUAGUCAAUUUCUCACCUUCUGGAGAACCGCGAUGCCCUUAAUUGGGUGUCGCGGGGAACCAGGACCUUUACUUUGAAAAAAUUAGAGUGUUUAAAGCAGGCAUUUUGCUUGAAUACAUUAGCAUGGAAUAAUAAAAUAGGACGGCAUGAUUCUAUUUUGUUGGUUUCUAGGAUCACCGUAAUGAUUAAUAGGGAUAGUUGGGGGCAUUAGUAUUCAAUUGUCAGAGGUGAAAUUCUUGGAUUUAUUGAAGACUAACUACUGCGAAAGCAUUUGCCAAGGAUGUUUUCAUUAAUCAAGAACGAAAGUUAGGGGAUCGAAGACGAUCAGAUACCGUCGUAGUCUUAACCAUAAACUAUGCCGACUAGGAAUCAGACGAUGUUAAUUUUUUAAUGACUCGUUUGGCACCUUACG